rnacentral:rRNA from 1 species
UACAGAGGGUGCGAGCGUUAAUCGGAAUUACUGGGCGUAAAGCGCACGUAGUCGGCUUUGCAAGUCGGGUGUGAAAUCCCCGGGCUCAACCUGGGAACUGCAUCCGAGACUGCAUUGCUAGAGUAUGGGAGAGGGAGGCGGAAUUUCUGGUGUAGCAGUGAAAUGCGUAGAUAUCAGAAGGAACAUCAGUGGCGAAGGCGGCUUCCUGGACCAAUACUGACGAUCAGGUGCGAAAGCGUGGGGAGCAAACAGG